rnacentral:lncRNA from 1 species
GGGGGGGAAGACCUAUCCAAUGAAAACCGCUGCCAGGGGGGCAUUUGAACUCCGUCGCUUGCUGUCUCGCUGUCCCCUCUCUGCCCCGCGCACCUCGCUCCCCCUCCCGGCCGGCGCUCGCAGUGGCGCGCCUGCUCGCUCUCCCGCUAAGCGACGAGUCUUCAACAAGUUGGAGGAAGGCAGGAACGCAGGGGUUAAGCUCGGAAAGCCGCAAUUACCAAGAUCGUGACCCUCCCACACAGUACAGUAACUUAUAUACUUACCUGGAAGAACCCGCUUUGCCGCCGGGCAAACACCCGUGGGGGGCGGGGAGGGGCCGGAGGGAGCGGGCCGGCAGGAGAGGGGCUGCUUCCAGCUGGCUGCAGUGCGGACGGGACCGGCGCGCUCCCGUGGCCCCCAGACCGAGGUGGUCAAACCUGUCCUGACACCCAGAGGUCUGCAUGAGGGGUGGCCACUGAAGGAGGAGUUCUCAAAGGCCACAGGUGAUGAAGAGCUUGGAUGAAUAAACUUAGAAGUCCCAGGAAAAUAGCAAAAAUUUCAUCUCCUGAAGAAAUUUGAAGAUUUUUUUGGAUAUUCUUUUAAAGGUGAAACUUUUCUUCUUUAGAAGGUGGAGUCUUUUCACUUCCUUGAAUCUGAGUGGAUCCUUCGACUGUUUUGACCAAGACUAUGUGGUAGAAGCGAAGUUCCAGUUCCAGGUAUUGCUCUUAUUUCACCUGACAAGUUUGGUUUCCUGCCUUUUGGAAGCUGACCACUAUGUUAGAAAUGUAAUCACCCUGAAAUCACUAUGUCGUGAGAAACCCAAAGGCAAGUGAAGAAGCCCUGGAGGAUGCGACAUCAAGUGUAGAGGCAAAAGAGCACCAAGGAAGAGGCCAAAGAACACUAAGUGAAGAAGCCAUUUUGAAAAUGGAUCCUCCAGCCCCAGCUGCCCUAGUUGUUACGUAAAUCAGAUAAAUUGCCCAGUGGUACCCUUCCCAAUUUCUGCCCCAUAAAAUCAUGAGCCAAAUAAAAUGGUUUGUUUUAAGCUUCUAAGGU